GACGAACGCUGGCGGCGUGCUUAACACAUGCAAGUCGAACGGAAAGGCCCUGCUUUUGUGGGGUGCUCGAGUGGCGAACGGGUGAGUAACGCGUGAGUAACCUGCCCUUGACUUUGGGAUAACUUCAGGAAACUGGGGCUCAUACCGGAUAGGAGCUCCUGCUGCAUGGUGGGGGUUGGAAAGUUUCGGCGGUUGGGGAUGGACUCGCGGCUUAUCAGCUUGUUGGUGGGGUAGUGGCUUACCAAGGCUUUGACGGGUAGCCGGCCUGAGAGGGUGACCGGCCACAUUGGGACUGAGAUACGGCCCAGACUCCUACGGGAGGCAGCAGUGGGGAAUAUUGCACAAUGGGCGGAAGCCUGAUGCAGCAACGCCGCGUGCGGGAUGACGGCCUUCGGGUUGUAAACCGCUUUCGCCUGUGACGAAGCGUGAGUGACGGUAAUGGGUAAAGAAGCACCGGCUAACUACGUG
rnacentral:rRNA from 1 species